GAGAGGGAUCCAGGGGUCCCAGUGUGCACAGCAAUAUCAGGAGGUGGAGGGGACAGCAGAGGUCGCUGAGAGAUGGUUCUGCUCCUGGGACACGUUCUGUCUGUCGUCUGGGCAGCUUCUUCUCUUUGAGAUGAUGAUGCCACCAAAUGGCCAUCAGUUGGGAAUGACUUUUGGUCACUAUCAGCUGGGCCUGCUUUUGCCUGCAGCAUCAGAUCCCUGGGUUGGAAGAGACAAGUACCUUAUUCCAUUACCAAUCCAAUGGGCAAAACAGCCAGUCCACCACAUAAGAAGCAGUCACAGCUCAUUGUUGAAGAGGUGCUAGUGGCUCCCAAGAGCAACACGGACCCAUAGGAAUCUGAAGCUUGGCAGCUUGGAUCCAAAUGUUCAGACUCUUCUCCCGAUCUAUUUGGGCUGAAAAUCUGCCAAGAUUGGGCUUUGUAGUGAGAUUUUCAGCUCUUCCCGAUGCUGUCCGGGCCCAUAUAACUAGAGUGUCUCUUCUUCAGCACCAAGAGUGGAAAUACUUUCCACACUGCUGGCAGCCACUUGACUCCAUGUGAAACUCUGCAUGAAGGGAUGUCCUUGCAUCCAAAGCCUCAGUGGAUCCAAGAGCAGGCCGCCCUGGAGCAGAGAGGAGAGAAGCAGGUGGAUCAGAGAGACCGGAGUUUGACUCCGCCUGGUGCCUCCAGUGCAGAGAGCAUCACAGCAGCAAAUGCCCAGAGGUUUUAACAUGCAGGUGUGACAGAUGCAGAGAGGGAGUGAGGAUUGGGGGCUUCAAUAAUGCUACCCUGAGCCAGGGGAAGGAGUUACUGACCCUUCAGCUCCAGGUAGACUGCUGCUCUCCCCCUUCCCCCACCCCAAAAGAAAAAGCCUGCUGGAUAGUCUGUAGGCUGUAACAAACAGGAAACUCAGCCAGGACCCAGCCCUUCCCAGCGGGGAAAGGAAAGAGACAAGCUUUGUUUCAGAAAGGUCCUCAGUGAGGACACGCUGGCACCCUGCGCAGGGACAUAGGGGGUCUGGUUAUGAGCACAGAGCAUCACUGAGCUCCCAGGUCUUAAUCUACCCUAUUGCAGACACCUGGAUGGCUGUACAAAGGUGAUAAAAUCCCCUUGUUUUCCUGUCCCCUCUGCGCAGUCCCAUAUUACACCCCAUCCCACCUCGCAGGGUCCUGGAGCCCAGGCUUGAGCCUGAACCCGAGCAUCUGCACCACAAUUAAACAGCCCCUUAGCCUGAGCCCUGCAAGCCCAAGUUAGCUGGCAUGGGCCAGCGACGGGCUUUUAAUGCUGUAUAGACAUACCUUCUGUGUAGGGUGACCCGGUGUCCAGUUUUCAACAGGAACAUCUGGUUGACAAGGGACCCUGGUGGCUCCGGUUAGCACCACCAAUCGGGCCGUUAAAGGUCUGGUUGGCAGUGC